CAACAGCAUCAAGAUCAUCAGGAGAGAUGCACCAUGGGACGCAUCAGCAGUGACUGAUCUGCCCCAGAGCAAGUGCAGCCAAAGCUCUCCGUGCACUAAAUACUGACUGUACUCCAGACAGGCCUCCAAGGGCACAGCUGGGCAUACCCUGUAGUUAUCUUACUUCCUGUAGUUAUUUUAAUUCCUGGCCCCUCUUUCCCUAAAUCCAAUUGUUAGCAAAGACUCCCCUCAACCUUUUUUUUUUUUUGAGAAGGGGGUCUUAUUAUGUUGCCCAGGCUGGUCUUGAAUUGCUGGGCUCGAGCAGUCCUCCUGGUUCAGCCUCCUGAGUAGCUGAGAUUACAGGUGUGAGCCACCGCGCCCACCCAUGUUCAUAUUUUAAAUUUAUAGAAA
ensembl:lncRNA novel transcript